GAUGAACGCUGGCGGCGUGCCUAAUACAUGCCAGUCGAGCGAACAGAUGAGGAGCUUGCUCCUCUGACGUUAGCGGCGGACGGGUGAGUAACACGUGGAUAACCUACCUAUAAGACUGGGAUAACUUCGGGAAACCGGAGCUAAUACCGGAUAAUAUAUUGAACCGCAUGGUUCAAUAGUGAAAGACGGUUUUGCUGUCACUUAUAGAUGGAUCCGCGCCGCAUUAGCUAGUUGGUAAGGUAACGGCUUACCAAGGCAACGAUGCGUAGCCGACCUGAGAGGGUGAUCAGCCACACUGGAACUGAGACACGGUCCAGACUCCUACGGGAGGCAGCAGUAGGGAAUCUUCCGCAAUGGGCGAAAGCCUGACGGAGCAACGCCGCGUGAGUGAUGAAGGUCUUCGGAUCGUAAAGCUCUGUUAUUAGGGAAGAACAAAUGUGUAAGUAACUAUGCACGUCUUGACGGUACCUAAUCAGAAAGCCACGGCUAACUACGUG
rnacentral:rRNA from 1 species